rnacentral:rRNA from 1 species
GAUUUCUGAUGCGACCUGCCUGGCCCGCCGUGGUUACACGUGUGAGUGCCGGGUGUUGUCCGUCUGUCUUCCUGUUGCUAGUUGCCCUCUUCACUGAGUGGUGAUAUAGUGUCGGGAUCUUUUACUUUGAACAAAUUAGAGUGUUUCAAGCAGGCUUUAUGCUAUGAAUACAUUAGCAUGGAAUAAUAAUUUAGGACUUCGGUUCUAUUUUGUUGGUUUCUAGGACUGAAGUAAUGAUUGAUAGGGAUAGUUGGGGGUGCUAGUAUUCAGCGGCCAGAGGUGAAAUUCUCGGAUUCGCUGAAGACUAACUUAUGCGAAAGCAUU